UGGUAGGAUGUGACCCUAUCUGAAAGGUUGGGCACUUCCAAGACUAUACUUUUCCAGAAUCCUGUACUCCCUCUGAAUUCGCUUAAGGUCAUCAUCCUCCAGAACCAUCUUUAUGGUAUCAGGAGUUUGAUGAGCCCCAGGCGCUUACAUGACAAAACCCUUGGGAACCAAGGUAGGGGACUCUAUAUUAGUGGGCCCUGCUCCAACGACUUUCUUAGAGGAGAAGCCAUGAAAUGAAUGCUGAUAAAAA
rnacentral:lncRNA from 1 species